CAAUAGCGUAUAUUUAAGUUGUUGCAGUUAAAAAGCUCGUAGUUGGAUUUCGGUUGAGAACGGCCGGUCCGCCGUUUGGUGUGCACUGGCUGGUUUCAACUUCCUGUAGAGGACGCGCUCUGGCUUCACGGCUGGACGCGGAGUCUACGUGGUUACUUUGAAAAAAUUAGAGUGUUCAAAGCGGGCUUACGCUUGAAUAUUUCAGCAUGGAAUAACACUAUAGGACUCCUGUCCUAUUUCGUUGGUCUCGGGACGGGAGUAAUGAUUAAGAGGAACAGUUGGGGGGCAUUCGUAUUUCAUUGUCAGAGGUGAAAUUCUUGGAUUUAUGAAAGACGAACUUCUGCGAAAGCAUUUGCCAAGGAUGUUUUCAUUAA
rnacentral:rRNA from 1 species